rnacentral:rRNA from 1 species
CUUGACAUCCAGAGAAUUUAGCAGAGAUGCUUUAGUGCCUUCGGGAACUCUGAGACAGGUGCUGCAUGGCUGUCGUCAGCUCGUGUUGUGAAAUGUUGGGUUAAGUCCGCAACGAGCGCAACCCUUAUCCUUUGUUGCCAGCACGUAAUGGUGGGAACUCAAAGGAGACUGCCGGUGAUAAACCGGGGGAAGGUGGGGAUGACGUCAAGUCAUCAUGGCCCUUACGAGUAGGGCUACACACGUGCUACAAUGGCGCAUACAAAGAGAAGCGACCUCGCGAGAGCAAGCGGACCUCAUAAAGUGCGUCGUAGUCCGGAUUGGAGUCUGCAACUCGACUCCAUGAAGUCGGAAUCGCUAGUAAUCGUAAAUCAGAAUGUUACGGUGAAUACGUUCCCGGGCCUUGUACACACCGCCCGUCACACCAUGGGAGUGGGUUGCAAAAGAAGUAGAUAGCUUAACCUUCGGGAGGGCGUUUACCACUUUGUGAUUCAUGACUGGGGUGAAGUCGUAACAAGGUAGGCGUAGUGCU